rnacentral:lncRNA from 1 species
UUGCAACUAUUGCACACUUUACUGCUUUACUUAAUUUUCAGCUUAUGUGAGUAUGAUAGCUAAUUGAGAUUUUAAAAAAAAAUCCAUCUAAUAUUAUUUCAAUAACUUUUUUUCUUUUUCUUUUUUAUUCAAUAUUUCUUGCCAUUCAUGAACAAUCCUAUAUGUUGAUAAUAGUUAACUUCAUAAUUUGGUUUCUUCCAAUUUUAGUCAUCCAUUUUCAGUAAGGCUUGUCUGUAUCAAUUGUCUUCUGUGCUUGUCACUCCAAAUUUUGUACAUUGAAAAUAUUGGCAUUCCUUUGAAUCCACAUUGUCUGGAAACAAAAAUUUCUGUGAGGAAGUUGAUGACCAUAUGAACUCAUUUAAGCUUAAGUGAACAAAUUGGCAUAGGUCUUCCCCACAAAUACCUGAGGGGUCAUAAAUGCACAUGAAAGCCAGCACAAUAUCUUCCAUGUUCUACUUCUCUCAGAAAGAAUCAAACUUGCUCUCUGUUGUUCCAAAGCAGCAAAAUCCUUCUUGCCUUCUGAGCCAAUGACAAUGUUCAGGAUAGGAGACAGUCCUGGAGACCUUGGAAAAAUGGGAUAGACUACACCAUGCACGGGGCUCCAAGCAGGGAUAUAGAGAGCUAGGGCAAAACCCACACCUCAAAGUUCAUACUUGGUUGAAAGAAUCUCACCAGAUAUAUCAUUAGAGAACUGUACCCAUUUUGGGUAUAUAAUUACUGAACUGAUUGAUUUCCUGAACCAAUUGAACACACACACACACACACAUUCUUCUAAAAACUGUCUGGAUUACAAAAAUGGUUGACAAAUGCUUCUCAUCCAUGUCUCAGCCAAAAAGAAUUUUGAGUUGUCCUACCAAAUCAUUAGCCAGGCAAAGGCCCCAGAAAAAAGUCAUAACUCUCCAAAUAUGGUGCACAGAUUUCCAAGACAAGAUGAAUAACAUUCACCACCAGAAGCUUCUAUUGUUAAACAGACCACAAACACCCAUGCAUCACCACCCCCACCCUCAUGAAAGAAGAGAAUACAAAGUUCUUUGCUUUUCAAUACAAAAUUCCCCAGAUUCCAAAAUUUAUGUAAGUUGUGCCUCACUCACAGAAAGACCAAUUAUAAUCACAAAAGUCACUUGGAAGGAAAAGUCUUCUCUAUCUUUCACAAGGGCACCCACCCCAUAAAAGGCCUCCUCUCUAAUCCUCACAAUUGAGAGAACCAUAACCGUUUCACUUCAAUGCCGCCAAAGCAGACUUCCCCUAUUUUUUUUUUCUUCUUCUUCUGAAGCAGCUAUUCUCACCAAAAAAAUAAAAUAAAAUAAAAUAAAAAUAACAAGGGUUCACCUCACUUCUAACCUCAAAGUGCUGGUGAGCAUUUUGUUGGUUAUGGUGGGUGCAGAUCAAAACUCAAGCUAGUCCCCUUGUGUUCAAUAUUUGGUUGUGUUGAAUGACAGCCUGAUGGAGAGUUUGCUGCAAGA